AUGAGGAUGUUAGAAAAAUGAAAAUUCGAAACUUUGGUAACUUAAAUAUUUGUGUCUCUAAACAGUCUUGAUUCAAAAAGUUUGUUAAGUGCAAAGUUUUAUAUAACACCGAGGUAUACAAUCUUAAUCUAAAAUUUGUCUCCAUCCAAUUAUAUGUGGUUGUGAUUUUUUUCGGUGACAACAAUUUACAAAGACACACUCUGCACAUCAAUAUCCAAACCGGCUUCGUAGGAGGCGUACAGCUAAAAAUCAUUUUCAAGGAUGGAUCGUGGCCAUUGAGUUGCUUGAUUAUCAGAGAUAUGAUCGAUCACUUUAAUUUCCUCUAAAAAAAUUGGUAUCCAGCAGCAAUUAAUGUCCUCCACCCAGUGAUGGAUUUCCCAUUUUUUCUAAUUCUGCAGUGCAUGAAAAGUGACCACAUUGCAUCUGUGGGUUAAUGUCUUCUAAUGUCUCGGGACCAACCUCCCAUUAUUUAAGGUGCUUGAAAAUUAAAUGACUCAUCUCUUAUUGGUAUAGUCCUCUUUCUCCAACCUCUUAUAAUUUGACAAGCAAGUGUCUACUCUUGCCUUUGAAUUGAACAACUAGUUUUGCAGCUCAAUUCUAAUGGAAAGGUAAGUCAUCUGUGGACAGAGAGAGAGAGAGAGAAGGAGGAGGAUUGUUGGGGAAAGUAGCAUUUGAAGAGAUGGAGACAGGACAUAGACAUAGAGUGUAUUUAGGAUUAGGAGGCAUCUGGAGGAACAUCACGAGUAGUGUAUACGUUACUGUGAGAAAAUCUUUACGGAAGAUUGGCACAAGCAUACUGUAGAAUCUGGGAGAUCGAAAGCAUCAAGAACCAAGUGUCGCACCGAAUCACGAGUCGUGGAUGCCUCCACAGAUCCACCCUGGGCCGCAUGUCCUUACGCUGCCUUGUGCUUCUUCCUUCUACCCCGUAGAUGGAAAGAGCAAAAGACAGAGAAGCAAGACUCUCUGUCGAGCCACCUGAUGUUACACCAGUUAGAUCUCAGGUGCCCGUUACUUGUUUUUUGGCCUGGAUUGGUGUGACUGCGUGAGGCAGUGUUCUCUACGGAUUACUCCUUGACCAGCUUAAAAAGCUUGAGCCAACUAGAGAUGUUGAUGGUGGCGCUGAUGUUGUUAGUAUCAUCACUGAUACACUAUACAUGCUAGUAAACUGAAUUAAUUACAUUUUUUAUAAAGGAAGAUUUUAUUAGUUUUCAAGUGAAUUGCAGUCUUAAAAUAUAUUGUUUGGGCCUCUGCCUAUUAAAGAAGCACAC
rnacentral:lncRNA from 1 species